AUGGCAAGCCGAGGUGGACGUGGUCGUGUCAAACGUGGUCAAGCUAGCCACGGCGGCCAAGGCCAUGUCCAUCACAUGAUGCGCAUGGCGAGGAAGGCCAUGCCCAGAAAGUGCACAGAUAAGGCGAUGAAGGCCAUGUUCAGGGUGAAACGACGUGCAAGGAUAAUGCCAACAAUGCAACAUAGGAUCAAGGAGGUGAUAGGCAUGGUGCCGGUGACCGUACUUGUGGUCGAGGAGGACGUGGACGCAGUGCCAGCACCCAGCGGACGCUGUAGACGAGCCCUCAGACUGAUCGGUUUUGGUAACGACGAGCGAUGUUUCACCAAGUUUGGUUGCGGUCUUGGAUUGACCGGUCAUCAUGGCAGCAAUCAUUUCCAGGGCAAAGUCGACAGGCAGCUCAACGUGAUGCCCAUGGCAGCAGCGGCAACAUGGACAGGCAAAACAGUAAGUGCUUUCCUCCAAAAAUUCAAAUUGUCCCAUGAGCAUAAUUAA
rnacentral:rRNA from 1 species